rnacentral:tRNA from 1 species
GAGGGUAUAGCUAUUGGUUGAGCGUAUGCUUAGCAUGCACGAGGUCCUGGGUUCAAUCCCAGUACUUCCA